GUGAGUACGAGCUAUGAAAAUAUGUACCCACGUUGGAAAUGUCAUUAUAGAAUUUGUCUACACACUUGUCAGUCUACAAAAUCUUUGCCUUUCGUUAAAUCCCUCUAAAUUUGAGACCCCAAACAAAAUGAUUAAAUUUUAUAAAUUUUUUACAUUGGUUUGCGAUGUUGGCGCUUUCGUCAAGCGCCUAAAUUUAAGCAUUGUUCGGCUGAUUUUCUUUCAGCUUCCAAGUGCCACAAGGUAGUUUUGUAUGUGAUUCACGAGUCCUUGGCAGGCCUUGGCGAAAUCGAAGGCCCUAGCAUGGAGAGACAGAGCAACAGUUGAACAGCCGGAAAACGUUGGGCUGCCCACUUCUAAUACUCUGAUACCAAAAUAAAAGCAUUUACUUACCAAA